rnacentral:tRNA from 1 species
GAGGGUACAGCUCAGUGGAAGAGCACAUGCAUAGCAUGCAUGAGGUCUUGGGUUCAAUCCCCAGUACCUCCA